GUUGCGGGCAAGUUCAAGUUGUUUGAAGCACAAAUUCAGUCAAGUUUUCUCUUCUUUUUGUCUAUCUGAUUGUUUUGUUAGCUUAGGAAUUGCUUCCACAACUGGCUUUAUAAAAGCCGCUUUCUACCAUGAGAAAUAAAGCGUCGAUGUACGUGCUAAACUAAAGUCAGGAGUGGCAGACUGGGGCCGUUGCAAGGCUAGUACUUUGAGAGGAAAUCUGACAGGAAAAGAAUUUUUCCUAAAUGAAUGUCUAAAUCCACGAAAGAAGAGCUUAAGUACAUUAUUAUCACAUAUAUCUGCUGGAUAACAGGAAGAUCAUUUUAAGUUCGUUGUGGAGUUAUAACCGACUGUAUAAAAAGAAACAAACGAAUUUAGUUGAUGAUGUCUUCACUACCAAACAGGCCUCAAACUCCACAUGGACUUCGACAAAUAAAACUGGAUGAAAUUUGGGAUGACUUAGAAGGUGGUAUGGAUCAUGUAUACAGAAGACAAAGUAUGGCUAAGGGACGUUAUAUGGAACUUUAUACGUAUCUUUUGUUUAUAUAUAUCAAGAAUACAUAAACAUUAUUGAUCCACAUGUCAAGCAUAUCUUCCUUUUAAAUAGUGCUUGAUGGAUGAAUUUUGUUUGGCAAGUAUACUAACAAUAUACUGUCCGAGAUUUUGUGUGUUGGUGGAAAUAAGGCUCAAAAUUGAUUUCACGCAUAAUAUUUUGGUCAAUAUGACAUUGACGUACAUAAUUCUGAAUGACAUUUUGACCAGGUAAAUUUGAACAAAAAAUGUCUGUUUUGGGAGAAAAAAUUUCCAGCUUUAAAAUCUGUGCAAACUUUUGUUUGACUCCAUCUUUCAAAAUUAGGUUAAAAGUAAAACCUGCGAACUUUGCAUCGAAUGUUUAAGACAUGCCUUCAGAAGUAACAUGGUAAUCACACUUUGAAAUUUCAUAAGCUGAACAGCCUUGUGCAAAGCUAAUGAUAUGUGUGAUUGACCACUUGCACUAAAUUUUGAACCUGCCAGGCCUGCACAAUAUUAGUUGAAGGGUAUUGUAGAUGGAAAUUAUUGACUCUCCCCUUCAGGAGCAAUAUUGUCUAGCAUUGGACAGAGUAAAAUAAUAAAGUAGGGUGUAUUAGGGCGCAAUGCAACUUAAUGGGUUAACUAUACACACAUGGGCAGAACCACAUUGGAAUAACAAUAUAACUCAUCAUCUAUGUUAGUUAACGUUUAUUCCUUCAUUGUCACAUGCGUAUUGUAUUUUUGCCAAAUCCACCAAUAUUGGUUAGUUGGGCUAAAAUACAAUACGCACAUGACGAUGAGGUACCGUUUUUCUGAAUAAACCUAAACAAAAACAUAGAUAACAACUAGAGGGCACUCAGAGACUGCAUAUCUCCGCCAGUGAAUUAAGUUAUGUAUCAUGCAUAAAUUAUACAAUGGGCUAAUUACACAAUUAUUAUACAAUGGACUGUUUACUCUGUCUGGCAAAGCAAGACAAACCUUUGCUAAUUUCACAUCCAAUUUUCAUCAAAAUUUAAUCAAUUUCUCCUUGGGCAAUGUCCAUUAGUCACAGAAAUUUUUGUAUUAAUACGUUUGAUAGUUCUUAGCUAGGAUUUUAGAUCUUGGGCGUGUUUCUAAUGACCAGGACGUGCACAUGUCAAUUACUUUGAAUAGCAAAAUCACGGUUCUAGUUUAUAUGCUCGCCAACAACAACUAUGCUUGUGGUUGUUCUAUGAUUUGCAACCAAAUACAAGGCGAGCAUACGCUCAUAUUGUGCACUGACAUUAAAAUAUUAAGUUAUUUCAGCAACUCUUGGGGGUAUUUAAAACCAUUUAACACCAUACAGUUCCCAUUAUCCAUCAAAAUAGUAAAACAUCACGGAUCAUGUUUGUAAGUAGCACCACCUUAUUUUAUGAACCUACACGGCCUUAUAUAAAAAUAGUAAAGCCGUGUUAAUUUUAUCUAGCCGUGUUUUUCCGCUUUUGGCCACGAUAACACGGCCAACACGGCCCUCUAGCUAAGACCCUGGUUAUCGUGCUGACAGAGACAGAGACGCAAAUACAAAUGCAAAUGAAAUUAUUGACUCCUGGCGGAGGUAAUGAGUUAUAUAACUUAUAUUGUAAUAGACUGCGAGCGGUCCCUCCUUUCCGCGGGUUUAGAUUUCCAGGCAUGCAAACGGAAAGGAGGGACUGCUGACAACACACCAAGAAACGAAAUAUGUGUUGCCCACACAACGCAAAAUUCCCAUUGGUCGAAAUCAAUACGCCUGUCAAUCAAAUCUGAUACGUAGUAAUUAUGCUAUAAAUAAUUUCCAGACUAAAUGUUGAUUUUAUAAGUAAACAUGACAUUAACGGUUGCUAUUGGAUAGAUUUAAUUGGAUGUAAGUAAUGUUUAUGCAAAGGCGGAGCCAACUUGACAGGAGUGAAAAGUGGGCAUAUAUCGUUUUUUGAUGUGUUGUCGGCAGUCCCUCCUUUCUCCCGAGGGUCUAAUAUAAAAUUUUGUAAUUAUGUUGAGUUUUCAAACCAUCUCUUCUAUUAAUAACUAUGGAUUAACCCAUUGAGUGGCAGCACUCUCCCCUUGAAAACUAAAAUCAUCUGGUGUUAGACAGAGUAAAAUAAUAAAAUAGGGCGGGUGCAUUGCAUGCAGUGCAACUUAAGGUGGGUCUGUACAGUUUUAAGAAACACAAUUUAUAUCGAUGUUCAAUCUUCGUAGCUUGGUAAAAUUUUUCUACAAAGAAAAUGCCAGUUUUUCAUUGUAAAUCAUAUAUUUUUCAGAAUUCAAACAGUACACAGGUUAUUAACCAGUUUUAACAUAUCUUUUCGUGUGUUUUUACGUAUUUACGUUCAGUAAUUACUAAAAACAACAACUCUAAAUCACACAUGUUUUGUAUUGUUCACAUAGUAUAAUUUAAACACAUGUGCAGAUAGUAAUCAUGUUGAAUCGAGAUUUUUAUCACACUAGCAACAUUAACUCGAAUUUAGUGAUGGUUUUUCUCCAUUUUUCUUUGGUGAAAUUUUUUUAAACUUUCCACAUUUGCUAACCAUAUGACAAGUAGUGGCAUAUAGAAAUUUCAACAAAUUUUACAGAUAGAUUUUUCUGUAAUUGUCAUUCAUGAAUAUCUACCAUAAAUCUUUAAAAAAAUCAGAAAAAUUGAUUGAAGGAAAAAAAUAGUGUCCAUUCAUUCUGAAAUUAGACAAUAAAAAUGCAGAAGAUAAAAUGACAUGGUUGCAUGGCAACACUAACAAUGUUUUUGGAAAUGAUCAUAUUGCCCUGUCUUAAGUGUAUUCAAUAUAAAUUUGGUUGAAAGCGAAGGUUACCCAAAAUACUUAAUUAUGUUUUAAUUAUGUUCUUGCAAUGUCUGAUUGUUGUGUCUUGAUCAUUUAUUAUACUCUAGAAGCAUGAAAAAUUAUAUAUAAAUAGUUGUGAAAUAAAGUUCAAUAUUUUGGAUACAAAAAUGUAAACAAAACCUUUGUUUACAUACGGACUGUACCACAUCUUUAAAGAAUGUUGGUUUUAGAUGCAUCCAAUUGAUGCAUUUCAUUGGUCAAAAUGUGGGAAUAGUUUACUCAAACGUGGAAAUUAUUUACCAAAAUGUAAAACAACAUGCGAAAUGCCAGUAUUUUGAAAAUUUUGUAAUACAGCUUUUUUGCUUGAAAUGGGGUAGCAUAAGGAUCAAGAGUGUGAUUAGCAGACAUUACCACUUACACAUUAAAAAACUCAGAUAAACAAGGUUUGUGACAAUGAGCAUCUGUAAGUCCGUAACAAUGAUGUUUUUUUUGGGCAUCAUGUUGUAUUAUAAAGCGAGCAACCCACAGAACCCAAAAAAAUAGGGUUUGGCAACUUGGCAGGCAAGCAGACAUUGAAAAAACGUUAGAGAAUCAGCAGAAAGAAGAAGGUUGGUCAGGAAACUGGCACCACAGACCGUUUGUUGUUAGAGCUCAGUAGAAUACUGUCUACUAUAUUUACCAAAAUGUUUGAAUGAAAAUUAGCAAAUGUUAUGCCAUCAUCACUCACGGUUCUAAAACCAUGUGAUUUUGAACAAGAUAUGGACAAAACAUGCAAGAAAAGCAAUUGACGUAUUAUGACAUGGAUAGUUUUGGCAGUGUUUUUUAUAAUUCAUGGCUAUGAUCAGAAACUGUUAGUAAAAGAAAUAAUCCACAAUCAUGAAUGAGAAAUAACAGCCUGGCUGCAUAAAUAUCACUAACAUAAAUCGGCUCAAAAUAAAGUUUUAUGAUAUACGCUGGUCAUGUUGACCUGUCAGUUCCAUUUGUGACUUUUCGAACAUACUUCUGACCAUGCAGUCAACUGACAUCAAGAUAAAGCACAACAAAAAUUGCCACGUAGUGGUAAAUAUUUAACAGGUGAAAGGGUCUGGAGAAUGAAAUUGAUGGCAUGGUCUGGAGAAUCAGUGUUUUAGGGGUGAGGGCAUUUUAGGGGGAGGAGGUCUGUAAUUGUUUUGGUUUUUAAAGCUCAGAAUUGCCAUUUCCAGCCAUUCUAAAGAUUUGUCUGACCAACAAACGUGUUUCUUAAUAUUUAUAAAGAGUGCAAAAUGUGCAAGAAGUUUAAUUAAUGGCAUGCAUACUUACAAAACAAACUGCUCAUAAAUAUUGAACCUAGCUAACAUAAAUGUACUUAACAGAUCAAACUAUCCUCAUUGACUCUCCGUUAUGUUUUCUCAUAUUUAAUUGGAUUACAAUUCAUUAAUUACAAUUUCAUUACGGUGAACUCUUGCUAGCGACGAAGAGAAACUUUACUUCCAACAUUUUGCACGCAAAUUGGGCAUCAGAACACAUGUUUGGGAAAUUGAAAGUCAUCCAUGGGCUAUUUGUUUAUUGAGAUUUGCAGUGAAAUACGGUGGAGAAAUGGUGAAUCUGCUAUAGAAUCUGGCAAACUCUGAAACUCAAUAGCUGAGAGUGGUUUAGAUACAACACUUGUUACAAUGCAUUCAAUAAUAACAUAUAAUUACGAUACCUCAUUUUAUGAUCUCAUAUAUAGUCCCUAUAGCCUUUAUUUAACAGUUAAAGGCUUGAAUGUUUCCUUUAACAUUUGAAAGACAUGUCUACGAUUAUUGUACCACUAUAAAUCAACAAACACAACAAAAAAUCCCCAAAGGAAAGAAACUGUCAAGUAAUCAAAGUGGUAUGUAAACUUUGACUUUUUAAAUGCAGUUAAACUGAUAUCUUACACACUUAAAACGUUGUACGUCAUCGUCAAUAUUUUUUUGUUACAUCCUCGGAGAAACAUGAAGAGAAG